rnacentral:rRNA from 1 species
GUCCACGCCGUAAACGAUGGAUGCUAGCUGUUAGGAGUAUCGACCCUCCUAGUAGCGAAGCUAACGCGUUAAGCAUCCCGCCUGUGGAGUACGGUCGCAAGACUAAAACAUAAAGUAAUUGACGGGGACCCGCACAAGCGGUGGAGCGUGUUGUUUAAUUCGAUGGUAAGCGAAGAACCUUACCCAGGCUUGACAUCCUGCUAAUCACUCCGAAAGGAGAGAGUGCCUUCGGGCCGCAGUGACAGGUGUUGCAUGGCCGUCGU